GUAGGUGAACCUGCGGAAGGAUCAUUACCGAGUUAGGGUCUUUAUUGGCCCCAUCUCCAACCCUGUGUCUACAUUACCAUGUUGCUUUGGCGGGCCCGCCUAUAACGGGCCGCCGAGGGUCUCCGGAUCUUUGGUCAGUGCCCGCCAGUAGCCAAAUUAAAUUAAAUUCUUCUUAACCGUGUCGUCUGAGUAAAUAUUUAAAUAAACAAAACUUUCAACAACGGAUCUCUUGGCUCUGGCAUCGAUGAAG
rnacentral:misc_RNA from 1 species